GCAGAAAACGUCAAGUGGUGUGAAUACUUUCUGAAGGCAUUGUACAUGGCUGGAACCAUAUCUUUGUAACUAGGGGAACUGUACAUUUAGCCAUUUGUAGUUUUUCUCCAAUAGUUUCAACUGUUUUCAAACUAACUCUACAGAAUUAAACCCAGUUCUCUCUCUGUCUGCCCCUUCUCCCUCUGCCUGGUUUCUCAGAACUCAAGAAUUCCUGAUGCUCACCUUGUCAAGAUAGCUUCUUUUUCCUCAAACAUCAACAAGCAUGCCUGGAACCUCACCAUUGUUUUGGCUCCAAACCUUCUCAGGUGUGUGUGUUUAUCUACAUCUGCCACACUGUCAUGGAUACUGGAUAACUGGCUAUGUCUGAGGCCCAAACAGUGUGGUGAGCUGUUCCAGUGACUGCAAGAUCUUUGUUUUGGACCUUCAGAAUAGUCCGUGUGAGAUGCUGGGGAGAUCCUCCCUGAGUGCAGUCCGCUGAUUGAUUAGUCUAACAGCGGGAGGCAGUGUGAGCUCUAACGGUACUAACCAGAUGGAUAGUGUGAAAUUGGGUCUGCAGAGGGAGUUUGAUAGCAGAUUGUGUGGAGCGGGAGCUGCAGGUGUAGGAAAUGAGAUUCAGGGAUGGAAAUCAGCAGGAUUUUAGCUCACAAAUCACACACACCACUGCUGGUAGUGGAUCUUUACUAAUAAUAUGAAUUCGCUUUUCAAAAAUACUAUGGUAGUCGCAUACCAUGUUGUGAUGUUGUAGAUUGUUUCUAUAUAUUUUAUAUUCAGACAAGACCAAGGAGACUAAGCAGGAGCACAUGGUAGGUGCUACGGAAUCUGAUGGCACUGUGAAGCUGUGGUACCCCUUCCAGGUGAGAUGAAUGCCAUUUGAUCAGGAUUUAGGAUUUGAUUGGAGCAGUGUCAAAGCAGGAAGGAGUCCAGGCAUUCCUCACUGUGUCUGAAGAUCAGUCGCUGAGGUCUUGAAGCAUUGCAACGGGUAACACAUUUAUCAACCUAAAUUAAUCGUCCAAUUUCCAUGCUUGAUGUUUUUUUGCUUAUUUUUAAAAUUAAUUUCCCAUCUUUACUAUUUCCUCCAGAGAGUCCUUCCAACCAGAGGGGCACUGUUACUGCUCUGUGCUGCUCUCAGAGUGGCGAUCUGCUGCUAUCUGGCUAUGAGUCUGGCAGAGUGGAUAUAUGGAAACACAACACUUCAGUUGGCCACAAAAAGUUAUCUCCAUACAGUAACGUCCAUUCAGGACCUUGUUUUGUUGGUGUGUUUAUCACAUUUGAGUAAUUUAGCAGACUCACUUAUCCAGAGCAACUUACAGUAGUCAGUGGAUACAUUUUCAUACUGGUCCCCCAUUGGAAUCAAACCCACAACCCUGGCGUUGCAAGCACCAUGCUCUACCAACUGAGCCACAUUGUGAUGAAUAAAACAAAGUUGGUUCAUCUGUGAUUUGCUUGUCUCUCAGGUGUCUGACAGUGGUGUAAAAGUGAUCUGCUCCAUGCCUGAUGGUUAGUUAUCUGUGGUCCGCAGGAGGUUGGAGUGGAAUCUUUAGCACAAUGCUGCAAGUCUGUUGGUGUCCACAUACUCAGUGCCUUCCCCAGUGACGCACCUGUACUACUGCCCUAUCCUGCUGGGAACCUGUGAGGAUGGAAAUAUCAUCAGUGUCCUCAUUGACCCUGAUGCUGAUAGAGAAAUUAUCAAGUAAAGCACAUGAUCAAGCACAAUGAUCAAGUAAAGACACACACACACAUUAUGUGGUGAACCAGAUCCAGACUGAUAAAUACUGACUUGAAAUGUACAUAAUUGAUUAAAUUGCAGUUGGAAGGAUGACAUGUGAAUUCUUGGAAUGUGGCCAAUGAUGAAAAAAGAACUUGGUUGGUAGAUGAGAAGAAAGGACAGGUUGUGCUUGGCGUCUUGGUGAGUUUACCACCAUCACCGACACAUUCAUCAUUUUCAAUGAUCUCACUGCUGCUGUUUGGAUUAUUGUUUUGAUAGAAGUUAUAUUGGUGGAUGAUAAUAUGGUCCUAUCUGCCUUCUUUAGUAUAUCAUGUGACAGGGCUCCCAAGUGGCGCAGCGAUCUAAGGCUCUGCAUCUUAGUGCAAGAGGUGUCCCUAC